rnacentral:rRNA from 1 species
AGAGUUUGAUCCUGGCUCAGGAUGAACGCUAGCGGCAGGCCUAAUACAUGCAAGUCAAGGGGGUCGCAAGAUCACCGGCGGACGGGUGCGUAACGCGUACACAACGUACCUUCGACAGGGGGAUAGCAUUGGGAAACUGGUGGUAAUACCCCAUAACAUUGCGCUGAGGCAUUUUAGUGCAAUUAAAGUUACGGCGGUCGGAGAUCGGUGUGCGUCUGAUUAGCUAGUUGGCGGGGUAACGGCCCACCAAGGCGACGAUCAGUAGGGGGUGUGAGAGCAUGGCCCCCCACAUGGGUACUGAGACACGGACCCAACUCCUACGGGAGGCAGCAGUAAGGAAUAUUGGACAAUGGACGCAAGUCUGAUCCAGCCAUGCCGCGUGAAGGAAGAAGGCGCUCAGCGUUGUAAACUUCUUUUGGACGGGGACAAACCGCUUCAUUUAUGGGGCGCUGAGGGUACCGUCAGAAUAAGCACCGGCUAACUCCGUGCCAGCAGCCGCGGUAAUAC